rnacentral:sRNA from 1 species
UUAUAAAUUUUUUAGGGUCAACUUACCAUUUUUUGAACGUUGCAUUUGAUUCUGCCAUUGUAUAUAGUAUUAAAAUGACUAUAUGUAAAAUAAUAAAUUAAAUUACUUAUCUUUAAAAUAAUAAUUUGUAUGAUUGUACAAGUAAAGUAAUCAUGUAAGUGGUUGUGAGAAUUUUUGGACUGUAAAAAGAGCAUCUUGCAGAUAUUUAAUUUGAAAAAAUGUCAUUUAAAUUAUCAAUUUACCAUUUUCGUGGGUUUAAAGCAUGAAAUUUGGAUAUGGUAAUUUAAAUCUUCAAUUUUAUGUUCACUUCCGAUUUAAUCACGAAUUCUCGUUGACUAAGCAAGUUAAGGCACAUCGUUAGAAAUUCUUCUAAUCGAAAACCUUAGAUCUUCAAAAUCGAUUUCUGAAUUUUUUUCUCUUUUUUCGAAUUCAAAGUAAUCUCUCGUCUCUAGGUCAACUGAUGGCGCCGAAAAAGAAGAGCUUGUCCCUCAAUUGGCUUAGUCAACGAGAAUUUCUGAUAAAAUUGAAAGUCAACAUAAAAUUGAGGAUUUAAAUCACAAUGUCCAAAGUUCAUGCUUUAAACCAACGAAAAUAGUAAACUAAUGAUUAACAUGACAUUUUUCCGUAUAUAAUUUAGAUACUUUCUUUAACAUAAUAAUAAUAAGAACAUAGAAAGUAGGAGAGAUACACUGGAAGGGGUUCUUAAAUAAUAAUUCAUGAUUUUUUUUUUUAAACUCUUGAUAUACAUGUCACCAUAUGGGGAAAACGGCCAAUUUUGCCCCAAACUUAGUUGUUUUAUCGGAUUCAUACAUAUAUCUUUGUUGUGUACGUAAAACUACAUAAACGUAAGUUAAAUUUUAAUUACACGAAUAAAACAAAUACGGCCUAAACCCAUAAAGCUGUUAAUGUUCUAUUAACACGAAGCUCAUUAGGAUGUCACGUUGUACACAAAACGACGUAGUUUUGUUCUCCAAAAAAAAAAAAAAAGA